UGAGUAAAGUGGCGUACGGGUGAGUAACACGUGGAUGAUCUACCUUUUAGUGGGGAAUACCGCUGGGAAACCGGUGACAAUACCGCAUAAUCCCGAGAGGGGAAAGCCGUAAGGUGCUGAAAGAGGAGUCCGCGGUCGAUUAGCUAGUUGGUAAGGUAAUGGCUUACCAAGGCUGUGAUCGAUAGCCGGCCUGAGAGGGCACACGGCCACACUGGCACUGAAACACGGGCCAG
rnacentral:rRNA from 1 species